CCCACACCUCUCUGUCUGUUGUCAUGGUAACACUGUUAGAGGAAGAACUGCACCUCUCUGUCUGUUGUCAUGGUAACACUGUUAGAGGAAGAACUACACCUCUCUGUCUGUUAUCAUGGUAACACUGUUAGAGGAAGAACUACACCUCCUGUCUGUUGUCAUGGUAACAACAGGUGUGUACUGACCUCAGGUGAGCACUGACCUCAGGUGAGCACUGACCUCAGGUCUGUUUCUCUCAGGUGAGCACUGACCUCAGGUCUGUUUCUCUCAGGUGAGCACUGACCUCAGGUCUGUUCCUCUCAGGUGAGCACUGACCUCAGGUCUGUUCCUCUCAGGUGAGCACUGACCUCAGGUCUGUUCCUCUCAGGUGAGCACUGACCUCAGGUCUGUUUCUCUCAGGUGAGCACUGACCUCAGGUGAGCACUGACCUCAGGUGAGCACUGACCUCAGGUCUGUUUCUCUCAGGUGAGCACUGACCUCAGGUCUGUUCCUCUCAGGUGAGCACUGACCUCAGGUCUGUUCCUCUCAGGUGAGCACUGACCUCAGGUGAGCACUGACCUCAGGUGAGCACUGACCUCAGGUCUGUUCCUCUCAGGUGAGCACUGACCUCAGGUGAGCACUGACCUCAGGUCUGUUCCUCUCAGGUGAGCACUGACCUCAGGUGAGCACUGACUUCAGGUCUGUUCCUCUCAGGUGAGCACUGACCUCAGAACUAUGACCUUUUUAAAAAAUAAUAGUGAGCAUAUUUAUUGGAUUUCUAAAUUUCCUGAUCUGAUAAAAUGAUUCAUGAUUAAAUCUGGACGGUUAAGGGUCACUUGCGUCCAGGUGAGAACAGGUAGGCAGUGAGAUGGCUCAGCCUGAUCGUCCUGAGGACCGAGGUCAGACGCUCUCUGAGACACAUGAGAUGUGUUUAAUAUAAAAUACGUUGAAGGUGAUGAUGAUGAUGUUUCUCCUCCU